GGGGAAUAUUGCACAAUGGGCGCAAGCCUGAUGCAGCGACGCCGCGUGGGGGAUGACGGCCUUCGGGUUGUAAACCUCUUUCGACAGGGACGAAGCUUUUGUGACGGUACCUGUAUAAGAAGCACCGGCUAACUACGUGCCAGCAGCCGCGGUAAUACGUAGGGUGCGAGCGUUGUCCGGAAUUACUGGGCGUAAAGAGCUCGUAGGUGGUUUGUCGCGUCGUCUGUGAAAUUCCGGGGCUUAACUUCGGGCGUGCAGGCGAUACGGGCAUAACUUGAGUGCUGUAGGGGAGACUGGAAUUCCUGGUGUAGCGGUGGAAUGCGCAGAUAUCAGGAGGAACACCGAUGGCGAAGGCAGGUCUCUGGGCAGUAACUGACGCUGAGGAGCGAAAGCAUGGGGAGCGAAC
rnacentral:rRNA from 1 species